UUAAAAUUUUAAAUAAUUUUAAUUUUAUGAUGUGAAGUUUAUAUGAGUUUUUUGCACAAGAAGGAUAACAAUAAAAAUAUGCCGAUCAUUAUAUAUAAUUGUUAAUUGAUACAGAUAAAAAAAAUAAAAUAUUAAAUAUAUUGGAACUUGAAUUAAAUGAUCGCCGCUACUACUUAUAAUUAAUGUCAAUCAUUCUUUCAUAUUGAUUAUUAUUAUUGAUUAUUACUAUUGAUUAACAAUAAUCUGUAAUUUAAAAGUUAUAACAUAUAUAAUAAAAUAUGAAAAUUCAUUCAAAAAGUGGAGUUUGUAAAUCGCGCGAUAAUUUUGGAGUAACCUAUCUAACUCAAAGUAUGACUUAACCUCUAAUUGCACUGCAUUAGUUUAUAUUUAUUUACAAUUUUUUAUUUAUUAAAUCAAAUAUUAUUACAUAUUAACAUAACAUUAAUUAUUAUAAUUAAAUAAAUAUUUAUAUUAUUUUUAUUUUAUAUUUAAAUUAAUUGUAUUAUUAUAUUAAAUAUAUUAUAUUUAUUUCUCUUGUUUAUUAUAAGAGAAUUAAUUAAUUAAUUUUCUUCAUUAUUUCCAAGCAAAUUCUACGAUAAGAUUACGUGGUGGCAGGGAUCAUAUUUGGAUGCCUUUACAUGUGGAUUCAAGUACAACGAAUGUAACUUCUUUCAAUGGAAAAUUUCCAAAAAAAGUGUUUUAUCCACUAAAAGAUGUUUUUUUUCAAGAGAAGGUUUCAAAUAAAAUAAUUUUAUUUUUAAAUCUAUAUACAAAUAUUUUGCAUUCAUUUAUUAUUUCAGAUUUUAUUGAAAAUUUACAGGAAAAAAGAAAAUUAGAAAAUAAAGUAAAUUUAAUAAUAAAAUGAAUUACAUACAUUUUUUAAGUAAUAUUAAAUAUUAUUUAAAUCAUUUAAUUAUUAAAUCUAUUUAUUUGAAAUAACAGCAUGAUUCAUAUAAACCAAUGGAAGUUAAUAAAAAUAAAAAAAAAUAAGAUAUCCACCAAUAAAAUUUCAAAAUUUAAUGUUUUUAAGAAAUAAUACAAAAUCAAAUUGUCAUUUUAUACGUAAGUUUUGAUUUUAUAAUAUAUCAAUUAAUAAUUUUAGACAGUUUUUUAGUCAUAUGUUUAACAUAUAUUUAAAAGGAUAAUAGGAUUUAUUACAAUGCUUUUUGCUAUAGAAAAUAUUGAAAAAAAAACUGAUUCAUCAAAAGUAUCAAAUGUGAAAAGAAAUACUAAUAUUGAAGUAAGCAUUUUUAUUUUAUUUAAAAAUAAUAAAUAUUAUUAUAUAUUACUAUAUAUUAAAAAUGUUAUUAUUGUAUACUUUAUUAUUGUAUUAAGAAAUAAUAAUUAUAAAAAAUGUUAUCAUAUUGAAAUAAUAUUAUUUAUUAUUAUCGCACAGUAGAAAAUACUUGAUGAUUCAAACAAGAAGACAUUUCAAUCAAAUAUCAAAAGUAUUUUGCCAGAAAAAAACAAUAUAUUUGAUAAAAAAAAAUUUGAGAAUAUAAGUAGAGUUAGCAUUCUUCUUUUGUAUCUUCAUUUCUUGCUUUGUUAUUAUCUUUCUUUUUCAAAGACAAGUCAAUUUAUUGAACUUUUUGAAAUGUGUCCAAUUAAAAAUAAUGAAAAUUAAUAUAUAUGUAUUUACAAUUAAAAAUAAAAUUUUGAAAAUUGUUAAAAUAUUGUUUCUUAAAAUAUAUAAAAUGUUUUUAUGAUUAGAAGAGGAGUUUACAUAAAAAUGAAGAGUUAUGUAAUAACUAUGCUAAUAUUUUUAUUUAGUUUGGAAGAUAAAAUCUUUGGAAGAUAAAAUGUUUCUGUUGCAAUAUUAAACAAGCAACAAGUAAUAAUACAUAUAAUUAGUAAUGUUAAAUGUUGUAAACGUCAAAAUAAAUGUAAUAAUAAUCCUCAGUGAUAUCAAUUAUCUUACUUUUAUUCAGCUUCUACUGUUAUCUCCAAUGUCGCAGUAGCGAAUACAGAGUCACUUUCCUUCAAAUCGCAUAUAGUUUUGUAA